rnacentral:lncRNA from 1 species
GGGCUACUUGUUAUUUCCCAGGUUUUGAGACUUACAGGCUAGAAAUUUGAGGAUUGGGGCUCUGUAGUUCUGACCUGCUCAGAGAUCAAGUUUGUAAUACUCUGAUAGAGAAGGAAACUCUGCAUCAGUAAGGAAUAGCAUUUGGCAGCAAGUAACCAAGACCCCUCAGAGCUAAGGCUUAACAAAAACAAAAAUGAAACAAGAAAUAAGGCUUAUUUGUUUCUCAUAUGCUGUGAAAUUUGGGGUGGUCAGGGCUGGGGCAACAACUCCACCAUGAGCAUCUUCUGUCAUCUUUCUGCUCAGCCAAGUGGCUUCUACCCCCUAAGGUCUCCUCAUGGUUUCAAGAUGGUUGCUGGAGCGCCAACCAUCAGGCUCACAUUUUAGGCAGGAGAAAGAAGGAAGGAGAAGGGUAGAAGGGGUGCCUGCCCGCUGAGUCAGCUCCCUUUUAAAGGAGACUUCUGGAAACUCCACCCAAGAAGAGAACAACUUUGGCUUUCAUCUCACUGAUCGGAAUUGCCCAUUGGGCCAGCCCUAGUUAUAAGGGAGGCUGGGAAAAGUGGAUGUAGUGCAUUGCUGCCCCAGUCAGAGCUGAGCAAGCAAGGAAGAAGGGGAAGAUGGAUCUAGGGUGGGUAAACCUCAGUCUCUGCCUCCUCCUCCUAAUUUGCCAUCUAAGUAAACUAAGGCCCAGGGAAGGAAGGAAGUUACCCAUGAUUGCAUGGAAAGUUAGGGACAUGCCUGAGACCAGACCCCAAAGUUUGUAACUCUGAGACAGAUGCUUCUUUCAUAGUCUCUACUGCUUCACUCUGCAGUUGCACCUGUUCACAAAUAAUGUUAUUACUCUUUAUCAAGCACUAACAGUGUGUCAGGUACCAUGCUGAAGGCUUUCCAGGCUUGUUCCCUUCAAUCUGCUACCAAUCAUUUGAGUUGGGCAUUACUGUUAUUCCCAUUUUACAGAGGAAGAAACUGAGGCUCAGCUAUGUGAGGUGACUGCUUCAGGUCCCAGGGCUUGAAAGUGUUGGGGUUUCCAACCCCAGCUGUGAGCAGUUGAGUGCGUCAUUAAAAUGACCCAGGGGCAUCCUCAGUAGGCCACUGAGUCAAGGUGGCUUUCAUGGUGACCCUCUGCUGUUAAGAAUGGCCCAUAUACAGCCCUGAGAGUCAGGCAGCAAGAACCCUACCAACUGAGGCGGCUCUGGGCUCCCCACCCACCUGGCCAGGCUCUGUCUCUGCAGCUCCUCAUUCCAGCCAAUUACUCCUAAUGGAGUGAUAUGAAAUGUAACUAACUUGGGGAAAUAUCGGUAUACUUUAAUUAAAUCAGUUUGCAAUUAGCCAUCUGAGUAAUGAGGCUAAGGUGUUUUAUCUCCCUGUGAGCCAGCGGGCCAGGGGGAGCCAAAGGCAGAGGGAUUUUGUGCAAAUAGUAUGGUCCUAGUGACACACUCCUUAGGGGUAUGGCGGCAGGUGCGAAAAGCCCCAGGAGAGGAUUUGGCCCAAAUUUGCUAUGAUUAAAUAAAUACAGCACCUCAGAGAGGAGCUACUAAUUUGGAGUAAAUUUUUAAUGGCUGCAGCCGGUUUUUCUUAUUAAAGAAAUACCAGGGCUUUUAAUCCAAACACCUCCUGGCAAAAGGCUAAAAAUUACACUUGUGCACUGUGUGACCCUGAAGUCCCCAGACGCGCUAAACAUCUGGGUGGGCAGGUUGGCCGCUGUCCAGCAAGGCCUCUUAAAGCCUUCCAGGAGCAGUCCUGGGACCAGGGGAGGGCAGGUGAGACAUUUGUUUUGGGUGCAAGAUUUAAGUGGGUGCCAAAAUACUCAGCAGUGAGGUAAUACUUUAAUGCACUAUAUUUGAAAAAAUCAAAGUGAAUGCAAAAAAUUGAUGAUACCCAAAAUUACAAAAUUUAAAUAAAGAUGGGGUUUGUAUCAAUAUCAUGGCCUACUGAGCCAUGUCUGGAGCCAAGGGGAAAAUCAAUCCUACUGAUCUUGUCUUUAUUUAAAAGUUUGCUAUUUUGUUCAUUAUGAACUUUCUGGCAUUGAUUUUUGAUUUCUUGAAAUACUGCAUUAAAAUAUGUCUCUUGAUGACUGUGGGUUUUGAUGCCUCCUUAAAGUGUGUUCCCAGAGUCGAGGGCCUCAGUCUCCUUACCUAGUUCCAGCCCUGCCAGCUGAGUUGUCCCUCAGAGUUUGUGUGUCUUAUUCGAUAAAGUGACCAUUCUGCGUGCCCUUCUGGAACCUGGCUGGGUUCUUAGGGCCUCUAAGUGGCAGACUUUACAGGUGGCUGAGAUGGGUGGCCCUUGGAACCCUAGACCAUUAAAGCAAGGAACCGCCCCAUGAUCACUCCAGCAAGACCUGAAGAGGCUACCCAACAGCUUUGUGGCAGAGCUGGGGCUUCAGUUUCUGGUUCCCUGCAGGGCCUUUCUAUUCAUCAGAGGAGAAGAGCCUUUAAGAUGUGGGGUGAAAGCCAGGUGGCCAUGUGACCCAGUUCUGGCCAUUAAGACACAGACGUCUGGGCCGGGCUAAUGGGCACAGACCCAGCGGAUGUCCCCUUGGCCUUUUUUGCUUAUUCCCCUUCCCCCUUCACAUCUCGAACUGACCCUCUAUGUCUGGAGAUGAGCAGCUGCCCCAGGAUCUUGAAGGACAAGAGCCACAUGCUAAAUAAAGGUGGCAGAGCAGGAAGAGACGAGGAGUCUGGGUCCCCAGGCCCCCUUAGGCCUCCGUUCCUGGGCUGCCUACUGCAUCCCUUUUUCAGUGAGUUGAGUUAAUGUUCUCUGCUCAAGCCACGAUUAGCUGAAUUUUCUGAUGCUCACAGCUUGAAUGCAGUCCUAGCCAUUCCAUCACCCACGGUGACAAGAGCAGCUUUUGGUGAAAUUCAUUUGGUAUUCAUAUGACUCGCUCCCUGCUUCGUUUAGGUCCUUGCUCCCUGUCAGCAUCCUCGGAGGGGCCUUCGCUGAGCACUGUAUCUAACAUAGCAGCUCCCGUCACUUUCCAUUCCUUUGCCCUGCGCUAUUUUUUGGGGACCCUUAUCAGUCACUAGCUGACAUUAUUCUGUAUCAUUAUUUGUUUCUCGCCUCCUCCACUGGAAUUAGUUCCAGGCUCCUCUGCCUUGUGUCAUGCAUGGCUGUAUCCUCAGGGCCUAGAACAGUGGUCGGCAUGUAAUAGGUCCUCAAUCAUUAUUGCUGAAUGAAUGGACCUCCUCUGAGCCAGUUGAGCCCUGAGCCUUUGCCUCGGACAUCUGCCAGCUCUCUGUGAUAACUUGGCCCCUGAGUUAGGAUUUCUGCUUCCUCUCUGGCUCAGCCUCUCAGAACCCAAUGUGAAUUCCCAUUAUCGACCCCUCUGCUGUUCUGCCAUGACACCCCUGGACACCCCAGGUCCCAACCAGCUUGCAGCUGCCACCCCCAUCUCACAGGACAUCCAUCGUACCCUGGCACAAUGAUGGCCAGGCACCCGCUUCUCCAUCCUCCUUCAUCCUCAUCCUCAAUGUCAUUGUCCUUGUGGGAUCCCAGACAGUGAGGACAUUGUGUGGGAACUCCUGGCUCUCCUGUGGACGAUGCAUCAAAAGCCAUUACCUCCUGGUCCUGAUUUCCAAGAUGGAGCCUGCCUCGACGAGAACAAAAUGAAUGGGUUGGGUGUGCCAGACCCCAUUAACUGGCUACCCGAACUAAUCAACAGCAGGAAUUCAAGGAAAUUGCCAGAGCAAAUUGAGAAGCCAGAUUAUUUGGGUCUCUUGAUUGAGAUUGCAAGAAUAAUUGUUUGAGGGUUCCAUUUAAUAAGCUUUGUUUACUAACCCCAGAUCCUGUUUUGGUUUCUCUGCCUCCCGGACUAAGGCUAUGGCCACACUGACAAAGAAUUUUGACAUUCUUGCUAAUGGGACCUCAGAGCUUCUCCAUGGAAUCCUUUUCAUUUUGUGGGUGGAGAAAAUGAAGCCCAGAGAGGGAAUGGAGCUUCCCAAGGUGCCCAGGGCUUAGAGACUCCCAGGCAGGGCACUUCUCCUCCUGAGAAAACCAACAGGAGAUUCAAGGAGCCUCAGAAGAUGUCCUUCUGACAUGGGUCAUCAGUGUAUCGUGAAGGAGUUUAAAGAACUGCAUCUCGUCAUUAGUUAAGGAAAUACUUGGACAAAUACGAUGCAAGAAGGCAGUGCAUCAUUGUCUCCAAGGGCCUGAGUCUUCCUUGGAAGGUAAAAAUACUGCCUGCAGAGGUCCUUCUGCCAAGGACCCAUCUUCACCUAUAGUUACUGAGAGCACCAUGGAGCUGGACUGCAUUACAGAGAAUCGCCACGCACAAGGGACAGUCCAGAGAACCUUCCAUGAGGCCUGGAGAGGGGGCUGGUGUUGCCCCUUCUCUAGAGUCCUGAUCUGCCGAGUGCCCAGUUAGGCUCCUGUUCCUGACUCUACCCUCCCCGGUCCAGCUCACAGCACCAGGGUGUCCAUCUGGGAGGUGGCGAGGGCAGACCCAGAUGGCUGUCCUUGCAGAUGUCCCCAGCUUCCCAGGGGAGUCAGGGGACAGGGUGUGGCACAGACAGUGAGUUGGGGAACCAGAAAAGGCAAGAGAAAUCAUGGCUGGGUGUGGUCAGGGAUGUGUCUUUAUGGGGGAGGGAAGGCUCCUCUGCCCGUGAAGAAAGAACAGAAUUUAUGGGCAGAGGGUUAUUUAUCAGUGGAAAUCAGUGGGUGCCUGAGAGGUGAGAGGUAUUCAAAGGAAAUUCAUCCAUUCUGCACAGUUUUGGGGGAGCCUUUAUUAUGUGCC